rnacentral:rRNA from 1 species
AUGGUGGCCGCGGUGCGUGCUCCGGCGCCCAGGAAGCUGCCCGCGGAGGGGACGCUGCUGCUGGCGGCGGAGGAGGCGCUGUCGGACCUGGAGACGGCGUCGUCCACGGGGGCGCCCAACUCCAGCCUCAGCUCGGCCAGCAGCGCCGGCAGCCUCGCGCGCUGCUCCAGCCUCUCGCGGCUCUCCUUCGACUGCACCCCGUCGGCCGCCAUGGCGGCCGCGGCCACCGCGUGCUCGCCGCGCCCGUCCGCGGCGUUCCGGCCCCACCGGUCCGGCGACGUGGCGUGGGCGGCCAUCCGCGCGCUCUCGGCCUCCUCCCCGGCGACGCCGCUGGGCCCCGCGGACUUCAAGCUCGUCCGCCGCGUCGGCGGCGGCGACAUCGGCACCGUGUACCUCUGCCGCCUCCGGACCGCGGCGUCGGCGGAGGCCCCGUCGUGCAUGUACGCGAUGAAGGUGGUGGACCGCCGCGCCGUGGCCAAGAAGCACAAGCUGGAGCGCGCGGCUGCCGAGAAGCGCAUCCUGCGGCUCCUCGACCACCCGUUCCUGCCCACGCUCUUCGCCGACUUCGACGCCGCCCCGCGCUUCUCCUGCGUCGUCAUGGAGUUCUGCCCUGGUGGCGACCUCCACUCGCUCCGCCACCGCAUGCCCUCCCGCCGCUUCCCGGUCCCCUCCGCCCGGUUCUACGCCGCCGAGGUGCUCCUGGCGCUCGAGUACCUGCAUAUGAUGGGCAUCGUCUACCGCGACCUCAAGCCGGAGAACGUGCUCAUACGCGCGGACGGCCACAUCAUGCUCACCGACUUCGACCUGUCGCUCCAGUCCACGUCGUCGCCGUCGCUCGAGCCAGCCGUCGCCGAGGAGGAACAACAGGAGGAGCCGCGCAGCGUGUCCUGCUUCCCGAUACGUUUCAGGCGGCGGAGGCAUCGUCGUCGGUGCGCGGCGUCUCCCCCGCGGUUCGUGGCGGAGCCGGUGUCGGCGCGGUCGUGCUCGUUCGUCGGCACUCACGAGUACGUGGCCCCGGAGGUGGCAGGCGGCGGCGCGCACGGCGCCGCCGUGGACUGGUGGGCGUACGGCGUGUUCCUCUACGAGCUCCUCCACAGCCGCACCCCGUUCGCCGGCGCCACCAACGAGGACACGCUCCGCAACAUCGUGCGCGCGCCGCUCACCUUCCCGUCCUCCUGCGGCACCGGCUGCCACGCCGACGUCGCCGCGGCGCGGGACCUCAUCGCGCACCUGCUCACCAAGGACCCCGCCGCCCGCCUCGGGUCCCGCCACGGCGCCGCCGACGUGAAGGCGCACCCCUUCUUCAAGAACCUCAACUUCGCGCUCCUCCGGUCAUCGCGUCCGCCCGUCGUCCCCAGCGCGCCGCUGCACCGGUCCCAGUCGUGCAAGACGCCGGCGUCCCGCAAGCCGGACACGAAGCGCUUCGACCUCUUCUGA